GAACGAACGCUGGCGGCAGGCCUAACACAUGCAAGUCGAGCGAACCCUUCGGGGUUAGCGGCGGACGGGUUAGUAACGCGUGGGAAUAUACCCUUUGGUACGGAAUAGCCUCGGGAAACUGAGAGUAAUACCGUAUGUGCCCUUCGGGGGAAAGAUUUAUCGCCAAAGGAUUAGCCCGCGUUGGAUUAGAUAGUUGGUGGGGUAAUGGCCUACCAAGUCUACGAUCCAUAGCUGGUUUGAGAGGAUGAUCAGCAACACUGGGACUGAGACACGGCCCAGACUCCUACGGGAGGCAGCAGUGGGGAAUCUUAGACAAUGGGCGCAAGCCUGAUCUAGCCAUGCCGCGUGGACGAUGAAGGCCUUAGGGUUGUAAAGUCCUUUCAGAUGGGAAGAUAAUGACGGUACCAUCAGAAGAAGCCCCGGCUAACUCCGUG
rnacentral:rRNA from 1 species